UAGGGAAUCUUCGGCAAUGGACGAAAGUCUGACCGAGCAACGCCGCGUGAGUGAAGAAGGUUUUCGGAUCGUAAAACUCUGUUGUUAGAGAAGAACAAGGACGUUAGUAACUGAACGUCCCCUGACGGUAUCUAACCAGAAAGCCACGGCUAACUACGUGCCAGCAGCCGCGGUAAUACGUAGGUGGCAAGCGUUGUCCGGAUUUAUUGGGCGUAAAGCGAGCGCAGGCGGUUUCUUAAGUCUGAUGUGAAAGCCCCCGGCUCAACCGGGGAGGGGCAUUGGAAACUGGGAGACUUGAGUGCAGAAGAGGAGAGUGGAAGUCCAUGUGUAGCGGUGAAAUGCGUAGAUAUAUGGGGGAACACCAGUGGCGAAGGCGGCUCUCUGGUCUGUAACUGACGCUGAGGCUCGAGAGCGUGGGGAGCAAACAGG
rnacentral:rRNA from 1 species